UUUUUUUCCUUUUGCAGUAUUUGCUGUGUCUCUUAGCAAUCCAAAGAGAACAUAGGUGUUAUCAGGAAAUGGAUGAAUCAGUACUCUCUAGAGACAGAAUUCAAUUGAAGAAAAUUCCAAGAUCUGGAGAACAGCUAUCAGUGAGCAUAAACAAUACUGCAGUGAGAAGAGGGAGCUGGGAUUGCUCAAGGCUCACGUGAAUACAGGAGAAGUUGGCUUCAGUGACAUCUGUUAUAGGAACAAAACUAUGAAUUUCAGCCAUUGCUUGCAGCACCUGGGCUUCCUGUAGAUGGGGUGCCUUAAAAUCUGGCUGAGACAGACCCUACUGUGUUAUCACAUCACUAUAGAGAGCAGGUUGCCAAAACCACAUGUGGAGCUGUGGGCACAAUGGUGAUGAAUGGCAGAUGGAGAACCUCUUUUCAAGUGCAUUUGGAGCAUGGACACUGUCUUGAAGAAAAAGAAAACAGAGAGAAGUACAAAGAGAGCUUGAAGAGCCCUGUGCUCCCAAAGGGCUGCCUGCCCCUCCUUUUAGCAGCUUUUGAGAACUGUGAAAGGAAAACUGGAACUGAGGUUAACUGGAAUUGUUACUGGCUUUGGACUGGAGAAAUACGCUUGCUGUGUGUAAUUCAAGACCUUUACCAGAUGGCAACUCUUCAGCUGGUAUGGAUUAAGAAAGGAUGUUUUCUUGAAUUGAUUACAGCCUGGUGGAGCUGCUGGGGUUUAGGAAGUACAGCUGCAGUGGAGAGUAACCAGAAUGCAACCAUUGUCUGGCAAUGUAAUGGGCACCAACACAUUUAUUGAAGGCAGUACAGAC
ensembl:lncRNA